AGUAGAAUUGCUGGUUCAUAUGGUAACUCUGAUUAACUUUUUGGGUAACUGCCAAAGUAUUUGUCAAAGUGGCUGUGCCAUUUUACAUUUCCAUCAGCAAU
rnacentral:pre_miRNA from 1 species